UUAUGCGCCAAGCAGCAAGUGGAAAAGAGAAGGGAUGCAGAGAGAAGACUCAAACGGCCAGAGAUUAGACUUGUUUCCCUUAGUGACGCAGUCGCAUCAGCAUCGGCAUCAAGGCUCAAUUCCCAAGACUAUCCAAACCCCCACUUGGGGACGAAAGUUUUGCUUGUUUAAUGUUAAAGAAAAGAAAUAGAAAAAUAGAGAAAUUGUUUUUGGGUAGUCUCCAUGUAAAUUGGCGAAUGAAUAAUGGGAUACUCCCAAGUCUUUUUAUCAUUUGGACAAGGAAAAAUUACACAUAUCUGAAGCUUCAUAAUUGCUGCGAAAUGUCAAUGUUGUUGCUAGGACUUGAAGCAGUAAAAGGAAAAAAACGAAUUUGCAUCUCCCCACCGUCACCCAGUACAAUCCAACGGCAGGGAAUAGGACCAAGAAUCAGACGGCCAAACGUCAAUCCUAUAUGACAGGCUCAUGAAAGCAAAACGUACUUCAAACAAUCUCAACCAACCAAUCACAUCCAUACAGGAGUACAUAACACAGACACUCUCUAUGACUCCAUAUGCUUCUCUCUCUCUCUCUCUCUUCUUUUGUUUCUUGAAAAAGCUCUCUUUCGUGCAGUCUGUCUUACCACGAAAAUGACCACUCACCUCAACUUGUGUAUAGAGAAACUAAACCAGAACAACGAGAAAAUAUAGAAAUCAACCAUUUUUACGAUUCUUUUUCUUUGAAUCUUUUCAUCUUCUUUCUUGAUUUCUUGAUUAUGUUUUCUUUUCUCGAGGGAGGAAAAAAACAAAACAAAACAAAAAAGAAAUGAUUCUGGAGCAAUUAUCGUCCGUUCCUUAUUCAUGAGUGGUUGCGCGUUCUCACUGUUAGAUUUGUUCAGAUUAUAAAGGACACUUGUUCGCGUCACCGACACCUGUACGUCUUGCAUGACAGAGAGAGAUAGAUACAUAGAUAGAGAGUGUAAGGAAAGGGGGAAAAAAAAGAGAUAGAGAUGGAGUGAUUGAAUAUAUAUGGUGUUUAAUUUGUAAAGAACGAAAGAAAGAAACGGAAAGAGAAAGAGAGAGAGAGAGAGAGAGAGAGAGGGGUUUUCUUGACUUACUUUCUGGUGGACUGAAUUCUUUUUUGGUCCCAAUAAAACCCUAAAAAUCCUCAUUAAAGCCUUUCAUUCUUGCAGAAAAAAGAGCGUGAAUCAGAUUUUUGGUAACUUACCCAAAAUGGGUGUCACUGUGUUCUCAGAUCUGACUCCAUUCUUUUGUACAUUUUAUGCUUAUUUUGUUUUAUUUUUCCAUUUCUGGUUGUACAUAUAGGUUCUCUUUAGAUUCUUUCUUUUUUAUUCUUUUUUCGUUCAUCUUCCAAUGAUCUUCUGGGAGACAUAGAAAUUGACAGAAGAGAGUGAGCACACAGAGGCAUUUGUAUAAAUCUAUACCCUUGCUUUUGCGUGCUCACUUCUCUUUCUGUCAAGCUUCCAGCGCCGGAAUAUGAUCUCUAUGGUCACUUAUUUCCUGGCCUGUUUCUGUUCCAGAUUGAUACCACUUCUUCCCUUUAUUCUAUCUAUUCUCAACAGCUCUCUACUUGCUUCGCAAAAGGAAGAAGAUUACAGACGUUGAGGUACCAACAGCUAGGGGAAGAAGGCUACACGUUGAGGGUGCCAACAGAAGGAUGUGAUAUGUUUGAAUUUGAUUGGUUUAUGCCAUCAAAUUAUAUUUAAAGCGUGGCUUUUGCUGGUGUCUGCUUAACAGUUAGGCGUGAUUACUAUGCAGAUUUAGCGGCAAAACAGCAUAAAUAUAGUAUUAUGAGAUUUUUGAUUCACGUUAUCUAAGUCUUCUAGUAUGGUCCUUACUUGCAAAAACCCUUUCUUCAGUUUUGGUUUCUCGAUCUUUAUCAUUGUCAUCUUUGCACUUGCAUUCCCCCAUUUUUUAAUAUGCACCUGCGCAUGUGAUUAUGUAUCGCUCGAGAUUUGUUUCUCAUUGGACUUUGUUUUCACCUGAAUCUAUCAAGAAUCUCUAGUGGGUUUUCUUUUUCUUUAUGGAUUUCAAAAAACCCUAUUCUACCUAGAAUAGGGUUGCUUGUAUUACUAGUGCACCGAUUUGUUUUGUUUUUGUUCUAAUUUAUAUUGUCAUUUGCACAUACUCUUACUGAUCUGAUGUGGGUUUUGAUAAGAUAUCCUUUUUCUUUUUCUCUUUAUUUCGUGCAACAUAUUAGUCGUAUGCAUCAGGAUAUUUUAUUUGGUGUGAUAUUUUGGGUGCAUAGUAGGCAGGAGGGGCUCUAGAUUGGGUACGGUAGUUUCCAUGGAAGGGAAAUCUCUGCGUCUGCUUUCUCUUUGCUUGUGUGCUUCUAGUUUUUGCAGAUACGCAUGGAUGAUAGAUCCUUAUAAGGAAUCGUCAACUCACGGAACGAAGGGUAUUUUAAAAAAAGAAACCUUAUCACGCAGAUUCUGAUUCGGGCAUGUCAAUUAGUUUACAGAGAAAAUAGAAAUGUUCCGCGGCGUGCACGGUAAUUCAUCAUUUGACAAGGUACAAGGAUUUUUACUAUAGCAUUUAUAUUUUUCUUCUUUAGGGUGGCAAAUUUUGCAUUUUUAUUUCCUUUUUUGGUAAAGUUUCUUUAAAGGGGAAUAGAAAGGGAUUGAAAUAGCUUGAAUUCAUGAUAAAUGUGAAUUUUGUGGCAAAGGCUGUCGUGUGGAAGAGUGAAAUUUGUACAUUAUACUCAUUGUUGCAAUUUGCAUUUAUGCAUAAUUUAUAAUUCAAUCUCUCUCUUUGAAUAUCCUAAUAGGUAAUUAAGGCUUAUGAUGAUUUGGUCCCAUGCUAAUUUCUCAAUUUGGUUUUAAAAGGGUCUUUUUGGUGUUGACAAAUGUAGCCAACUUCAGGUAGGUAUUUUGUGUUUUUAUUUUAUCUUAGUAAAUCCAAUUCAGGUAAAUAUUGAUCUAUCUAAUAGGCUUUGCCUAUAAAUAUGAAAGAAGUUGAUGAGACAUGUAAUUAAUUGUCAAUAUAAAGUUUGUUAAAGCUUCAGUUUCUUUGUCAAUAUACUUGUAAAAGUUACAUGUUAAUGAAAAAUACUUAAAAGCGUGAAAAGAAAAAAGAUAAAAUCAUAGGAGAAGCUAGAAAGUGGUAUGACUUCCAUAAUCUCCAGCCUAUGUUCAAUUAAUUAAGGCAAUGACUUUGUAUCACAUUUGGUUAUUUGAAACAAAGUCAAAAACUAGUAACUAGGAACAUGAAUUAAAUGUAUAAAAUACUAAGAUUUUUAUACUAUGUGUUUUCUACUUGUACAUAUUUACAAGGGUUUAAGGAGGAACUCGUGACAUCAAUUGAAAAUAACCUGGUAGGUAAUACAUAUUAAGAGGUUAAGAUCUAGACGUGUUCUAAAAGCAAUUAUCAUCUAAAUAUUAGAUUUAAACUCAUUUAAGAUGCUAUUCUUCUUUGGUAUAUGAACUUAAAAAAGUAAAUUAAUUCACUAAAAUAUUUUACCAAUUUAAUUAAUUUCCAUUUAAUUAUUGAUUAAACCCCCUAACCAGGUCAACGUAAGGCAAAAGGGGAAAUCCAUAAAAAGAAAAUUAAGAAAAUUCAAUUGAGUCAUAACUUAUCUUUUCAUGGAUAAAAAUACUAAUCUAUAGUGAAUUACUAGGCUGCUGAAGGCCUAUCACAAGAUCAUUGCAUAUGGUUAACAGCUAAAGAAUCCUCCUUAAAUAUGUUCUUGAUAGCUUUGCAUUUUCGAAAUGUGGUUCUAUACUUUUGUGCUUCUAUUAUUUUAUUCUAUUUUCACCUAAGUUGCUAGCGUGCUUCAAGUAAAUAAUAGGUGGUUGAUACCCAUGGUUGCUUUUUGGUCUUACAUAGAGGAGAGAAAAACAUCUAUGAACACCCCUUAAUGUCUAGACUCCUAUUUGUAGUGAUGUGCAUUGAAUAUAACACCAAAUACAGGUCUGUUUUCUUUGAGCACUUGCUAAGUAGUAGUGCAACUAUUUCACUCUAUGAUCUUAGCUGUGGAGAGGGCACCUAGGGUGCUUGACUUUUGAAAGAAUGGCAGUAAGGAUAGAUGAGGGAAGAAGAGGAGUUGUUGAAGUUGCAUCAUUGGGUAACAAAUUGGAGUUUGUUGCCCAAUUUUGUUGGUACCCAAUGCUUCUAGAAAGCUCAUCCAAGAAGUCUGUCCAAUUUCUUGGAUGAAAAAUGGUUCCUACCAUCAUAGAGGGUUGUGGUAACAAUAUCUUAAACAUUCGUGGUCUUUUUUCAUACUAUCCCAUUUCCCUUACUCCUCUUUAAUCAUCCUUUUGUCUUUAUAUAGAAUUAUUCACUAUAUUUUUAAAUUAAUAUGUAGUUCUGUUGUAUUUUCCCUAAAUACAUUUUUCUGGUGAAACUAUGACAGGUCUUAAUCAUUUUAUCAUCCAACAAAUUGGAAGGUUGUUUUAUCCCCUUUUUACCUUUCACUAUACAGCAUUUGUAUGAAUUAGGAUGUCAUAGGAGUAAGGCAGUUAGCUGCUUAAGAACAGUUUAAGGACUAUCUGAUGUUUUUCCUCCUAAUCUAUACAUGAAUGUAUUUUUGUCAUAAUUUAAGUCCUUUGGGAGUAAAAGUCUUGAAAAUGACUUUACAAUUCUAGAAAGUCUUCUUUUCAAAUGGUAUAUUUUCCUUUGACUAAGGUCCUUUUUUCUAUUGAUGAAUCUUCCCUGAGUAUUCUAGAGGAGCCUAAGUGGAAGCAUGGCUAUAUUUAGUGUUGGAUAAAUAUUAAUUAAGGCAAGCAAUAGGACACAAAUAAGUUUUAUAUUUGCAUGAGUUGUGUGGGAAUAGGCCAAUAUUGAUCUAAUCCACAAAAUCUGAAUUGUGGUGUUUUCAUCUUUUCUUGAAAUUGAAAAAAAUAGUAUUAAACUCAAUUUUCACUUUUGACUAAUUGGCCAGGAUAUAAUGUGAUGUUUUCUUGCAUGGAGAUUCAAUCGAGUUCCGGAAGUGAAUGAUUCAAAUAAUUGUUAGGUGAGAUGAAAAUAUAAGAUAGAGUGCUUUGAAUCAGUAGAUGUAUGGACUGAGGUGGAGCACAUGUUAUUUAUAUCAUGGCCUUUUUUAGUCUUUGUUUCCUUCAGCAACCUCUGUGGUGCCACUCAACGUUUUCUUCUGAGUCUGGUUAUUAGGUUGCUUUUCCUACAGGUUUAGGACUUCUAAAUCAUCCCUUCUUGGCGAAAUCAAGGAGACAUGUAAAUAGAAGCAAUUUAUAUUACUAGAAUGAAGUGAGUCAACCUCCUUUUGGCUUCGGACAAACAAUUUUUUUCGCUGGUCAAGCUGUUGGGAGGUGAGUGGUUUAGAGUUGGAAAGUGGGUGGUGGGAGAUGGAGAACAAGAAGAGAUUAACUGACUUUUAAAAAGACCUUAUGGUAUUAGGGCUAUCGUGAAGGUAGUAUUUUCCCAGCAUCUAAGAGGAUAUAUAUUGGAGCUUUUGUAGGGUGGCUAAAGAUGAGCCUGAAACACAGGCUGUCAGAAUCUUCAUUCAAAUAAAAUGGGAUAGUAAAAGUUAACCUGCUUUUUAAGUUAGGAGGAUUGCCAAUUAUAUGCAGCAUGCUCUAGCCUGGAGAAGAUAUGAGUUAGAAGUUAGCCAAGUAGCAUAGUCAUGAAAUUAAGAAUUCUUCUGUAUCUAGAAUUUGAGAUGAUGCAACAGCAUAGGUGCUAAGAACAAUUACAUGUACUGUGGCAGAAACUAUUACAUUCACUUGUAGUAUUGAUCUAAAGUAAAAUUCAUCGUUCUAUUUGGGCUCACAACUUUGUUUUAGUACAAAGUACCGGUCCAUAAAAACUUAAAUAGAGCCUCUUUUAUAUGCAAAACUAAAAUCUUAGAGUCUAUAUGUCUUUUAUUUUCUCUAAAUUCAAGGAAAGUCAGAGAGAGAAGCAGGGAUUAAGUCCAGAAAACAGGCACUCGUUGAGCUAAUUUUGAAGUGGUAUUUGAUCUCACUGUCUGUAUUUACUCAUCUACAUAUAUCUAUAGGUCUGAUCUAUCAAGUAGAAUCUGGGACCUUGUUCCUAGACUGUAAAUCCUACACCAUAGGCACCAAUGAACGACUAUCCAGUUCAUUGCAUCUAUAGUUUUGUCGCACUAUCAAUUGCAGUUUCUAUGCAAUAAAAUAUAAAAAUUUACACCGAACGCCUAGCUAGUUAAAAAGGAGUCCAAUCCAAUCGUGUCUAGGACAAAAUUUAGAACAUUCCUGUAAUAUCAAUUUGUAUGUGGACUGUGUCUGCAAAUAUGUAGGUUGACUAAGUCUUGAGUUGUCAUAUGCUAAAUAUUGUUUGGUGGAUCGACUAGGAAUUGGAUAUGUCAGCAUCUCAACAAGUGAAGAAGCUGGAUUUCAGGGUAAUCAUAUUCUUGAAGCGAAUCCACUCUGCAGUCUUAUGUCUAGGGCUUAGAUUUCGCAGUGUUAAUCAAUCAAUGUGUUUUUGUUUCAAAUUUAGAUUUGGAAUCAAACACAGAUAUCUGAUGAGCCCUAAAAACUUAUAUUUAGAAGCAUAGUACUCGUUGAGGAUUUGAAUUCCUAAUCGAGGGAGUACGGUGACUACAAAAAGCGUCUUGUUUAUAGCUUUGAUUGUUUUAUGUUGACAUUUUAGUGAAGCGUUCAUGUAUAUUUCCACAUAAAGUAAAGUAGUUAGGGUUCAUCAGAGGUGAAAAGCAUAGACCAAGAAGAAAAAAGUGCAGAACAAAUUGGAAACUACAAAUAGGAGAUUGGUCUGCGGUUGCGUUGACCUCGGCAUUAAAGUGGUGUGAUACAUACAUAUUAUACAGCAGAAGAAACCAUGGCGUCAUGUGAUUAUGUAGACGGAGAAGAAUCAUUGCGUACCUGAAGUUGCUGUAUUAAUUCAACUAGAUAAUCAACCAUCUGCCAGAGGCUCGGCGUCUGACUUGAAAGCUUCGUGGCUAUCUAAUUGUGUCAGCUGAUUUUGUAAGAGAGAAUGGUAUGGCGGGAAAGACGGAGAGGAUGAUAAAGAUAAACGGGAAUUUCUUAAUUAGCCUUUGAUACCGUUAUUUACUGUUCGUACAAAGUACUAAAACCUUUUCGUGUACCCAACACCAGAGCAUUUUUGGAAUUUCAUUAGAUUAGUAUGCGUUUGAUUGCUGCUAGGUGACAGUACAUGAAUUUUGCCCCAAGAAUGAUUCUUCUUUUCUUUUUCUUU